UUUCAGGCACUUGAGGGUACUUACCGCUGAUCCAGGAGAGAUUUGGUCCAAUUCGUCCCUUAGCUUCCAGAUAUUACUUACCAUUUUUCCACAAGGUACAACUUCGUUGGAGUUCAUUUUUGUUAUUUUUUAUAAAUAAA